rnacentral:tRNA from 1 species
GGGGAUGUAGCUCGAUGGUAAAGUGCUUGCCUAGCAUGCAUGAGGCCCUGGGUUUGAUUUCCAGCACCUUCC